rnacentral:rRNA from 1 species
CACGGGGGGAGCAAGCGUUGUUCGGAAUCACUGGGCGUAAAGGGAGUCUAGGCGGUCAGAUAAGUGGAAUGUGAAAUCCCUCGGCUUACCCGAGGACCUGCACCCCAAACUGUCUGGCUUGAGUAUGGGAGAGGAUGAGGGAAUUCCUGGUGUAGCGGUGAAAUGCGUAGAUAUCAGGAGGAACACCGGUGGCGAAAGCGCUCAUCUGGCCCAAUACUGACGCUGAAGCUCGAAAGCUAGGGGAGCAAACGGG